AUUGAACGCUGGCGGCAGGCUUAACACAUGCAAGUCGAGCGGGGUGAUGGUGCUUGCACUAUCACUUAGCGGCGGACGGGUGAGUAAUGCUUAGGAAUCUGCCUAUUAGUAGGGGACAACAUCUCGAAAGGGAUGCUAAUACCGCAUACGUCCUACGGGAGAAAGCAGGGGAUCACUUGUGACCUUGCGCUAAUAGAUGAGCCUAGGUCGGAUUAGCUAGUUGGUGGGGUAAAGGCCUACCAAGGCGACGAUCUGUAGCGGGUCUGAGAGGAUGAUCCGCCACACUGGGACUGAGACACGGCCCAGACUCCUACGGGAGGCAGCAGUGGGGAAUAUUGGACAAUGGGGGGAACCCUGAUCCAGCCAUGCCGCGUGUGUGAAGAAGGCCUUAUGGUUGUAAAGCACUUUAAGCGGGGAGGAGGCUCUUUUGGUUAAUACCCAAGAUGAGUGGACGUUACUCGCAGAAUAAGCACCGGCUAACUCUGUGCCAGCCGCCGCAGUAA
rnacentral:rRNA from 1 species